rnacentral:rRNA from 1 species
UACGUAGGGUGCAAGCGUUGUCCGGAAUUAUUGGGCGUAAAGAGCUUGUAGGCGGUUUGUCGCGUCUGCUGUGAAAUUUCGGGGCUCAACCCCGAACUUGCAGUGGGUACGGGCAGACUAGAGUGUGGUAGGGGAGACUGGAAUUCCUGGUGUAGCGGUGAAAUGCGCAGAUAUCAGGAGGAACACCAGUGGCGAAGGCGGCUCUCUGGGACGGUACUGACGCUGAGACGCGAAAGCGUGGGGGAGCGAACAGG